UCUGCCUCCCAAGUACUGGGACUAAAGGUAUGCGCCACCACCGCCUGGCUUUGUGAUAUUUUUUGUUUGUUUUGUUUUGGUUUUAGAGACAGAGUUUCACUGUGUAGCUCUGGCUGUCCUGGAACUUGCUGUCUACACCAGGCUGGCCUCGAACCCUGUUUCCUGAGUACUGGGAUUAAAUGCCACCAUUUCCAGGGCAUUUUCAUCAUUUUGUGUUGCUGUUUUGUUUUGAGACAGAGUCUGGGAAUGUAACCCUGGCUGCCUAGAACUGGUAUGCAAUUCUUCUGCCCCUGUGUUCAAAGUGGUGGGAUUAUAGCUAUACACACACCACUGCACAUGGCUAUUUGUAUAAAAAUGGGUUUUUUUGUUUUGUUUUUUGUUUUUGUUUUUAGGAACUGGGCUUAAUAUAGUCCAUGCUGUAGUAAAGAUGACCUUAAAUUCCCAUUCUCUUGCUUUUCUGAACUUUGUUUUAAAGUCAUUGCCAAGUCUAAUGUAUAUUCUUGUUAGCACUUAUGAUUUUAACUGGUCUGUUUUGGUCUUUAAUGCAUUCUUAGUUCCUUCUAUUUGAGUGUAUGUGUUUGUGAUAUGUGUGUGUGUUCCUAUCUGUAUGCAUGUGUAUAUAGAGGCUAGACUCAAGUCGAUAGAGAUUGGUAUCAAAUGUCUUCCUUGAUGACAUUCUAAUUUAAUGUUGAAGUUCACAGCUUCAGUGACACUGAUUGGCCAGUGACUCUGGAAUCCACCUGUCUCUGCAUCUUCAGCAAUAUUACUACAAAUGUGUGCCCUUACGUGGAUGCUGGGGAUUUGAAUCCAGGAGCUUGUUUUUGUAUGGCAAGCACUUUACCUACCAAGCCAUCUCCCUGGUCCUUGGGAUCAUUUUUUAAAAAAUCACUCUUUUGUACACGCACAUAAAGCCUUGCCUGAACCCUUUGUUUUGAAAAGACUAUUCUUUUCCCAAAAUUCAGUUGACUUGACACUCCAGUUAAAAAUAACCCGACCACACACAUGAGCAUUAAUUUCUGGGCUGUUCAUGCUAGCUAACUACUGUUAGUAGGAGAUAUUUUUGUUUGUUUGUUUGUUUUGUUUUUUGGAGACAGGGUUUCUCUGUGUAGCCCUAGCUGUCCCGGAACUCACUCUGUAGACCAGGCUGGUCUCAAACUCAGAAAUUUGCCUGCUUCUGCCUCCCAAGUGCUGGGAUUAAAGACAUGCGCCACCACUGCUCCGGAGAUUUUUUUUUUUAAAUCUCACUGCAUUAAGUUUAACUAUAAUUGCUGAGCAUUUAAGAUUGAUUUUUACUUCCUUGUGCUAUAACACCUAGACCAAAUACAGAAUAUUUAAGAGCAAAUAGGUACUAUGCAUUGGCUGCACUUAAUGGGAUGCUUCCCUUCUUCAGAAACCAGAAGUUCACCAAGAGCCAAUUCACACUUCAAGAUACUCUUUCCUUCCUGCAUGUGUUCGCGCUGGUGUGCGUGUGUCUGUUUCCACGCUGCGAGUAGAGGGUAGCAUCCAGGGCCUUCUGCACUGAGCUUCAUAUACAGCCCUCAUUUCUUUACUAAGUUUAGUUUCUAAUUUCUUGAUAUGUACUUAACUACUGGGUUUUGC
rnacentral:lncRNA from 1 species